rnacentral:rRNA from 1 species
AACGAACGCUGGCGGCAUGCCUAACACAUGCAAGUCGAACGAGACCUUCGGGUCUAGUGGCGCACGGGUGCGUAACGCGUGGGAACCUGCCCUUAGGUUCGGAAUAACUCCCCGAAAGGGGUGCUAAUACCGGAUAAUGUCUUCGGACCAAAGAUUUAUCGCCUUUGGAUGGGCCCGCGUUGGAUUAGCUAGUUGGUAGGGUAAAAGCCUACCAAGGCGACGAUCCAUAGCUGGUCUGAGAGGAUGAUCAGCCACACUGGGACUGAGACACGGCCCAGACUCCUACGGAAGGGAGCAGUGGGGAAUAUUGGACAAUGGGCGAAAGCCUGAUCCAGCAAUGCCGCGUGAGUGAUGAAGGCCUUAGGGUUGUAAAGCUCUUUUACCCGGGAUGAUAAUGACAGUACCGGGAGAAUAAGCUCCGGCUAACUCCGUG